CUCGUAGGCGGUCUGUCACGUCGGAUGUGAAAAUCCAGGGCUUAACCCUGGACCUGCAUUCGAUACGGGCAGACUAGAGUUCGGUAGGGGAGACUGGAAUUCCUGGUGUAGCGGUGAAAUGCGCAGAUAUCAGGAGGAACACCGGUGGCGAAGGCGGGUCUCUGGGCCGAUACUGACGCUGAGGAGCGAAAGCGUGGGAGCGAACA
rnacentral:rRNA from 1 species